rnacentral:rRNA from 1 species
UCUAUCCUUCUCAAUUUCUCCCUCGCCACGGGUCUCCACAUCAAUUUUGCUAAAAGCACUUUUGCUCCAAUCCAUGUUGACCCUUCUGUGGCCGCUCGCAUGGCAAGUAUGUUGGGUUGCUCGGUCGCUACUUUCCCGCAAAACUAUCUUGGUCUCCCUUUGUCUACCCACAAACUUCGUCUAAUAGAUUUCCACCCGUUAAUUGCUAAGGUUGACAAAAGGUUAGCUGGUUGGCGAGGACACCUUCUCUCUGCAGCCGGUAGGGCAGUUCUUGUCAACUCUGUAAUUCGAGCUCUUCCCACCUAUGCUAUGAGCGUUAUGCUGCUUCCUGUUGGUUCUAUUCAGGCGAUGACCACGUGA